CCGAUCACGACGAGGCCCUGUCAUGUUACAUGGGCUUGGGCCACCUUAAUGGAUCCGUCAUCUCUCAUCGGCUACGUUGACAGCAACUGAACAGAGCAGCUGAGCUUUCACUCAGAAACUGAAAACCCCCCAAAAAAUGGCUGCAAUAGCUUCAACUCUGAUCCCGAACCCUAACCCCAGCUCGAACGCUAUCGUCUCAUCUCUUCGCAGUCCGCCGUCGUUUAUCGCCUCGACUUCAUGCUUGUUUGGCAACAAAUUUCUCGUAAAACCACUGCUCGCUCCAACCAUGAGGGCCCAAACAAAACGAUCAGAUGGAACCGCUCCUUUUCGAGGCUUGAAGCCGAUCAAGGCGUCGUCCCAUACGUUCGACGUGGUUGUGGUCGGCGCGGGGAUUAUCGGUCUGACUAUCGCUCGCCAGUUUCUAAUGGAGUCGGAUCUCUCCGUCGCCGUCGUUGACGCCGCCGUCCCGUGCGCAGGCGCUACUGGUGCAGGGCAAGGUUAUUUAUGGAUGGUUCACAAAGCCCCUGGCAGUGAUAAAUGGGAGCUUGCAAUGAGAAGCCGUGAACUGUGGGAAAUGUUCGCAGAAAAUGUACAGCAUCAAGGCAUGAAUCCUCUGGAGAUGUUAGGUUGGAAGAAGACAGGAAGCUUGUUAAUUGGUAGAACUUCCCAAGACUCAGCCAUGUUAAAGAGAAGAGUGGAUCAGCUAUCUGAAGCUGGGCUGAGGGCUGAUUUCUUGUCUCACGGUGAUUUGCUGUUAAAGGAACCUGCACUGAUGAUUGGUAAGGAAGGUGGGGCAGCGUUUCUGCCUGAUGACUGUCAAAUAGAUGCUCAGCGUGCGGUUUCAUUCAUUGAGAAGGUCAACAGAUAUUUUGCAUCAGAAGGAAGAUAUGCAGAAUUCUAUUAUGAACCAGCAACCAGUUUAUUGAGAUCCGGUAGUGGGGAGGUCAAAGCUGUUCAGACUUCGAAAAACACCUUGUAUAGUAAGAAGGCUGUUAUAAUUGCCGCCGGUUGUUGGAGUGGGACUUUGAUGCAUGAUCUGAUUAGGGACACAGGACUUGACUUGGAUGUCCCUGUAAAGCCUCGGAAGGGUCACCUACUUGUGGUAGAGAAUCUCAAUUCUUUCAUACUGAAUCAUGGUCUGAUGGAAGCGGGUUACGUUAAUCAUGAAGCAGGAACUCUUCAUUCUUCUGUUUCUGCUUCAGGGCCAGUUGAUGCAGAAUCAUUGUCUGUGUCAAUGACCGCCACCAUGGAUUCUCGGGGAUACCUUGUUCUUGGGAGCAGCCGCCAGUUUGUUGGGUUCAGUACAGAAAUGAAUGAGUCAGUUAUCGACCGCAUAUGGGAGCGGGCAGGGGAGUUCUUUCCCACUUUAAGAGAACUUUCUCUCAGAGACUUUCGCCAAAGUAGAAAAGUGAGAAUAGGAUUAAGACCUUACAUGCCAGAUGGGAAACCGGUGAUUGGGGCGGUUCCUGGUUUAUCAAACUUGUUCGUCGCUGCUGGCCAUGAAGGGGAAGGACUUUCAUUGGCUCUCGGUACUGCUGAAAUGGUUGCCAAUUUGGUGUUGGGCUGUCCUGGUACAGUUGAUCAUGCACCUUUUGCCCUGGAAAAUCGAUGCUGCAUGUUGAGAUAACUCCGCUGGAGGUUGGAAGAUCCAGUGGUAUACAUGCAUUAUAGGUUGAUUUGGAGGGUAACCAGCACAAUUCACUCCAAAAUCCGUCACAAAUUCACGAUAUUGUGGUAGCAUGCUCUUCAACUUUUCUGCGACCCAUCCUUCAAGGACUUGACUUCUGCUGCUAGUGAACAAGUCACAGAUCUCAUCGAAGGAUUCAAAACUCCCAGUACUUGCAUUUGUGAACAACAAUUUUGCCUCAGUUUUCGUUGGUUUCGCGACUAAGAGCCUUAUUACAAGUGUGAGCUUUGGUGCUUAUGGCAUUCAGACAACUCUGCAGGGCAGAACAAGGCCUUUGGUGUUCUUCCAUUACCGUCGUUCUUUUUCCUUUUGCUGGUUUUGCUUAGUCUCUGCAAUUAAUGAGUCUCCAAACGACAUUGUAUUUGUGAGGUUGGGAUCUGAUGAUUGCUUGCAUUUGAGAAAAAGAAUGUGCACACGAGGCGAGAAAUUAUUGGUCU